ACGCUCAUAUGCGGGUAGAGUGCAUA
rnacentral:sRNA from 1 species